ACGCUCGACACCUACGGAGGCAGCAGUCGGGAAUAUUGCGCAAUGGAGGAAACUCUGACGCAGUGACGCCGCGUAUGGGAAGAAGGUUUUCGGAUUGUAAAACCAUUUUAGACAAGGAAGAAACAAGACAGUACUUGUAGAAUAAGCUCCGGCUAACUACGUGCCAACAGCCGCGGUAAUCUGAGCGGGCUGGCAAGGC
rnacentral:rRNA from 1 species